rnacentral:rRNA from 1 species
CUACGGGUCGCUGCAGUGAGGAAUAUUGCGCAAUGGGGGAAACCCUGACGCAGCGACGCCGCGUGGAUGAUGAAGGCCUUAGGGUCGUAAAAUCCUGUCAGGUGGGAAGAAGUGGAUAUAGAUUAAUACUCUAUUUCUUUGACGGUACCACCAAAGGAAGCACCGGCUAACUCCGUGCCAGCAGCCGCGGUAAUACGGAGGGUGCAAACGUUGUUCGGAAUUACUGGGCGUAAAGCGCGCGUAGGCGGGUUGUUAAGUCAGAUGUGAAAGUCCAUGGCUCAACUAUGGAAGUGCAUGUGAAACUGGCAGACUGGAGGACUGGAGGGGGUGAUGUAAUUCCGGGUGUAGAGGUGAAAUUCGUGGAUAUCGGGAGGAAUACCGGUGGGGAAGGCGAUCACCUGGCCAGAUACUGACGCUGAGGUGCGAAAGCGUGGGGAGCAAACAGGAUUAGAUACCCUCGUAGUC